rnacentral:rRNA from 1 species
UACGGAGGGUGCAAGCGUUGUUCGGAUUUACUGGGCGUAAAGCGCGCGCAGGUGGAUGGACAAGUCGGAAGUGAAAUCUUGAGGCUCAACCUCGAGGCUGCUCCCGAAACUGUUCGUCUAGGGACUGGUAGAGGCUGGUAGAAUUCCCGGUGUAGCGGUGAAAUGCGCAGAUAUCGGGAGGAACACCAAUGGCGAAGGCAGCUCGCUGGGACGGUACUGACGCUGAGACGCGAAAGCGUGGGGAGCAAACAGGG